rnacentral:rRNA from 1 species
AAUAUUGGACAAUGGGCGCAAGCCUGAUCCAGCCAUGCCGCGUGAGUGAUGAAGGNCCNNGGGUUNUNAAGCUCUUUCACCGGNNNNNAUAAUGACGGUCACCGGAGAAGAAGCCCCGGCUAACUUCGUGCCAGCAGCCGCGGUAAUACGAAGGGGGCUAGCGUUGUUCGGAUUUACUGGGUGUAAAGCGCACGUAGGCGGACUUUUAAGUCAGGGGUGAAAUCCCGGGGCUCAACCCCGGAACUGCCUUUGAUACUGGAAGUCUUGAGUAUGGUAGAGGUGAGUGGAAUUCCGAGUAUAGAGGUGAAAUUCGUAGAUAUUCGGAGGAACACCAGUGGCGAAGGCGGCUCACUGGACCAUUACUGACGCUGAGGUGCGAAAGCGUGGGGAGCAAACAGG